rnacentral:rRNA from 1 species
UCCUACGGGAGGCAGCAGUGGGGAAUAUUGCACAAUGGGGGAAACCCUGAUGCAGCCAUGCCGCGUGUGUGAAGAAGGCCUUCGGGUUGUAAAGCACUUUCAGUUGUGAGGAAAAGUUAGUAGUUAAUACCUGCUAGCCGUGACGUUAACAACAGAAGAAGCACCGGCUAACUCCGUGCCAUCAGCCGCGGUAAUACGGAGGGUGCGAGCGUUGAUCGGAAUUACUGGGCGUAAAGCGCACGCAGGCGGUUUGUUAAGCUAGAUGUGAAAGCCCCGGGCUCAACCUGGGAUGGUCAUUUAUAACUGGCGGACUACAGUCUUGGAGAGGGGAGUGGAAUUCCAGGUGUAGCGGUGAAAUGCGUAGAUAUCUGGAGGAACAUCAGUGGCGAAGGCGACUCCCUGGCCAAAGACUGACGCUCAUGUGCGAAAGUGUGGGUAGCGAACAGGAUUACAUACCCUGGUAUUCCACACCGUAAACGCUGUCAACUAUCUGUGUGUGCCUUUAACGCGUGCGUGUCGAACCUAACGCGCUAAAUAGACCGCCUGGGGAGUACGGCCGCGAGGUUAACACUCAAAUGAAUUGACUG